GCUUUUUCCCCCCAGGCCUGUUGGUGUAUACUACAGAGAAGCCUCCAGGGUUCCGGGGGUGAAAUGC
rfam:Takifugu rubripes chromosome, Chr_21